rnacentral:rRNA from 1 species
AGGCCCUACGGGACGCAGCAGUAGGGAAUUUUCGUCAAUGGGCGCAAGCCUGAACGAGCGAUGCCGCGUGAACGAGGAAGGUCUUCGGAUCGUAAAGUUCUGUUGAAGGGGAAAAAGAGCGGAGAGAGGAAAUGAACUCCGAUUGAUAUUACCCUUCGAGGAAGUCACGGCUAACUACGUGCCAGCAGCCGCGGUAAUACGUAGGUGGCGAGCGUUAUCCGGAAUGAUUGGGCGUAAAGGGUGCGUAGGCGGCCUGCUAAGUCUGGAGUGAAAGGUACCGGUUCAACCGGUACAGGCUCUGGACA